rnacentral:rRNA from 1 species
GAUGAACGCUGGCGACGUGCCUAAUACAUGCAAGUCGAGCGAACAGACGUGCAUCUUUCUCCUCUUACGUUAGCGGCGGACGGGUGGGUAACACAUGGGUAACCUACCUAUAAAACUGGCAUAACUUCGGGAAACCGAACCUAAUACCGGAUAAUAUAUUUAACCUCAUUGUUCAAUAGUUAAAGUAGGGUUUUCUGUCACUGAUAGAUGGCGCCGCGCCGCAUUAGCUAGUUGGUAAGGUAACGGCUUACCAAUGCGACGAUGCGUAGCCGACCUGAGAGGGUGGAAGGCCACCCUGGUAGUGAGAGACGGUCCAGCCAACCACGGGAGGCAGCAGUAGGGAAUCUAUCGCGAUGGGCGAGAGCCUGACGGAGCAAGGCCGCGUGAGUGAUGAAGGUCGUCGGAUCGUAAAACUCUGUGAUUAGGGAAGAAAAAAUGUGUAAGUACCUAUGCACGUAUUGACGGUACCUAAUCAGAAAGGCACGGCUAACUACGUG